UGCAAGUCGAGCGGAGACAGUGAGUAGCUUGCUAUGAGCUGUUUUAGCGGCGGACGGGUGAGUAACGCGUGAGCAACCUUUCCCAGACAGGGGAAUAACACACCGAAAGGCGUACUAAUACCGCAUAAGACCACGGGAUCACAUGGUUCUGGGGUAAAAGAUUUAUCGGUUUGGGGUGGGCUCGCGUCCGAUUAGGUAGUUGGUGAGGUAACGGCCCACCAAGCCGACGAUCGGUAGCCGACCUGAGAGGGUGAUCGGCCACAUUGGGACUGAGACACGGCCCAAACUCCUACGGGAGGCAGCAGUGGGGAAUAUUGGGCAAUGGAGGAAACUCUGACCCAGCAACGCCGCGUGGAGGAAGAAGGUUUUCGGAUCGUAAACUCCUGUCCUUGGAGACGAGUAGAAGACGGUAUCCAAGGAGGAAGCCCCGGCUAACUACGUGCCAGCAGCCGCGGUAAUACGUAGGGGGCAAGCGUUGUCCGGAAUAAUUGGGCGUAAAGGGCGCGUAGGCGGCUCGGUAAGUCUGGAGUGAAAGUCCUGCUUUUAAGGUGGGAAUUGCUUUGGAUACUGUCGGGCUUGAGUGCAGGAGAGGUUAGUGGAAUUCCCAGUGUAGCGGUGAAAUGCGUAGAGAUUGGGAGGAACACCAGUGGCGAAGGCGACUAACUGGACUGUAACUGACGCUGAGGCGCGAAAGUGUGGG
rnacentral:rRNA from 1 species